AUGGCGUGCCUCGCCACACCAACGCCGGGUGGCUCCUCUGCCCACCGGCUCUGGCAUCCCACUCGCUGUGUUCGCUCCUCUCGCGAGCACGCCCGCGCCGGCUGCACCUGGGGCGCUCUCCCGCUCCGCCCCGCGCCGUCUCCCCGCACAUCCAUGUGUGCCCCGACACGGGUUGGCUCCCCUGCUUUGGCCGCCAAGACACCCAAGAUCGCCUGCACGGACCUACCUCGACCGGCUGCCCGUCCGCCUCGUCGCCGCUCCGAACCGCGCCCCCGGGCCCGGCCUCCCCCUGCGCCUGCCGGCUCCCGCAGGCCGGCUUCACCUCGCCUCGGCCGCCUUCGCGCCAACCCGGCACCCGUUCCGGGCCUCCUCGGCCGCGUAGUCAUGCGCGGGCCCGGCGCCUGCUUCCUCGCCGCCUGCAGCCCCCGCGCGCCCGCUGGCUCGCCGUCGCCGCGCCUGUCCGGCUUGUCGCUGGCCGAGUCCUCUGCACCGGCUCCAGCACGCGCCGGGUCCUCCUCCCCGGCUGAUUGUGCGUCGAGUCCUCAACUCCGGCUCGCCGCAAGCCGGUCCGCCCGCUCGUCGGGUGCGCCGUCCCACGGCCCAGACUCCGCGCGUCUGCGCCCCCGCGUCAAGCGGCCACCUCCACGCAACUCCCGGCCAUGUCCAACGCUGCACCCAUCCGCCGGCCGACUCCCGCAGCACCCGGCCGUCGGGUCGCCGGCGUCUGUCCACGCGCCGCUCCAGCUCGUGUGGCCCCUCCCACCCGGCCGCGCCCGGAUCCCGGGUCGCCGCGUGCCCGCUGGCCGGCUGCUCGGGCUCGCCUCGCCCCGCGCCGCCUGCGUCGGUCCUUUGCUCGACCCCUCGGCCGGCUUCGCCAGCGCCCGGCCGCCGGGUCACCGACGCCUCGUCUCCACUCCUCCACCCGGCGCCGCCUCCCCUGGCCGGCUCCGCCACCCAGCCGCCGGCUCCCGGCUUCCGCGCGCCUUGGCCGGCUUCCGCCACCCGGCCGUGGCUCUUUUCGUCAACACGGCGACCCGGCCUGCCGGCUUUGCCCACGCCGGCUCCUCCUCCCGUGACCCGGCCUGCCGGCUUCGCCCGCGCCGGCUCCGUCGGCCGCAACACGGUCGGCCCUGCCGCCUGCCGCCUUCGUGCGUGUCCGGGCCGGUUUCCGCUGCUCGGCAGUUGUUGCCGGCUAAGAAAAGGGAAGGCAAGAAAAAAAAUGUGCCCAAGCCGGCUGAGAAAGAAUAA
rnacentral:rRNA from 1 species